UGCGUAACGCGUAUACAAUCUACCUUUUGCUGAGGGAUAGCCCAGAGAAAUUUGGAUUAAUACCUCAUAGUAUUAUUGAUAGGCAUCUAUUAAUAAUUAAAGGUUACGGCAAAAGAUGAGUAUGCGUCCCAUUAGCUAGUUGGCGAGGUAACGGCUCACCAAGGCAACGAUGGGUAGGGGUCCUGAGAGGGAGAUCCCCCACACUGGUACUGAGACACGGACCAGACUCCUACGGGAGGCAGCAGUGAGGAAUAUUGGACAAUGGGCGAGAGCCUGAUCCAGCCAUGCCGCGUGCAGGAAGACUGCCCUAUGGGUUGUAAACUGCUUUUAUACAGGAAGAAUAAGCCUUACGUGUAAGGUGAUGACGGUACUGUAAGAAUA
rnacentral:rRNA from 1 species